GGGGCCACAGAGGACAGACGCGGCCCCAGGCGCUGGCCCCGACCCCCGCCGGCACCUGCCCGGCUGCCAGGCCCUUUACCCCACUUCUGACCUUGCCGGGCCGGCGGUGGAGGUGUCACCGGGCGUUCUGCGCUGGCGGAGCUGCUUCUCCCGCUCAGACCCACCCGGCUCAUCCAAAUACGAUUGAGCAACCCAGUUAGCGUUUCAUGUGUGCUGAGGGAGAUGGUGUUUUUGAAGGACGGCCAGCCCUGGAGUUAGCCCACCCCACAAGCUCCUCUAUCAAGGUAACUUAUGCUUAUGCCUCCAGCCAGAGGUGAGAUCUGUGUUCGCUUCCCUGGAAUUCACAGAGGAUACUCACUGCCUGGACCAGUCACUGUGGCAGAAUUGAAGUUGUGUGGCUUCCAGGCAGAAAUAUGGACAAAAAAACCUUCAGAUGAUUCCAGUUCCCAGCCUUCAACCCUUCCAGGCAAAAGCCCAGACAUGAUGGAGCAGACAUGGGCUUCCCUUGUGUGCUCUAUCUGAAUCUGGAAACCGUGAAAGAAAUUAAAUGGUUGUUUUUGUUUUAAACUAUAA